UACGGAGGGUGCGAGCGUUGUCCGGAAUCACUGGGCGUAAAGGGCGCGUAGGCGGCCUGAUAAGUAGGGGGUGAAAUCCUGCGGCUUAACCGCAGGGCUGCCUUCUAAACUGUCAGGCUAGAGCACAGUAGAGGCAGGUGGAAUUCCCGGUGUAGCGGUGGAAUGCGUAGAGAUCGGGAAGAACAUCAGUGGCGAAGGCGGCCUGCUGGGCUGUUGCUGACGCUGAGGCGCGACAGCGUGGGGAGCAAGCAGG
rnacentral:rRNA from 1 species